GGGCCCAUAGCUCAAUUGGUUAGAGCUCCCGGCUCAUAACCGGUCGGUUCUAGGUUCGAGUCCUAGUGGGCCCACCA
rnacentral:tRNA from 1 species